CGCCGCAGCACAGCCGCCAGCUCAGCUGCCAGUGCCACGUCGGCUUCGGAGGCGAGCUGUGCUCGGAGCUGGUGAAUGAGUGCGGCCGCUCGCCGUGCGCCGAGUACCAGACAUGCAUACCGGACGCCUCGGCGGCGGGCUUCAGCUGCCGGUGUCCGGAGGGUCGCACCGGCCCCCGCUGUGGCCUGCUCGCCUCCGAGUGCCGCCAGGGCCAGUGCUACACGCCGCGCGCGCCGUUCUCGCUGGAUGGCGACGGGUACGCCGAGUACCGUCUGCUGGAGCCGUCCGAGCGGCGCCUCACCCUGGAGCUGAGCCUGCGGACGCGGCAGCCGACCGGCACGCUCGUCUACUCGGCCGGCGGCGUCGAGUACAGCAUCCUUGAGAUUGUGAACGGUCAGCUUCAGUACCGUUUCGACUGCGGCAGCGGUGAGGGGCGCGUCCUGGUGCCGGACAUGCAGUUCAACGAUGACCGGUGG